ACUCCUACGGGAGGCAGCAGUGGGGAAUUUUGGACAAUGGGCGAAAGCCUGAUCCAGCAAUGCCGCGUGCAGGAAGAAGGCCUUCGGGUUGUAAACUGCUUUUGUACGGAACGAAACGGUCUGCUUUAAUACAGUGGGCUAAUGACGGUACCGUAAGAAUAAGCACCGGCUAACUACGUGCCAGCAGCCGCGGUAAUACGUAGGGUGCGAGCGUUAAUCGGAAUUACUGGGCGUAAAGCGUGCGCAGGCGGUGAUGUAAGACAGUUGUGAAAUCCCCGGGCUCAACCUGGGAAUUGCAUCUGUGACUGCAUCGCUAGAGUACGGUAGAGGGGGAUGGAAUUCCGCGUGUAGCAGUGAAAUGCGUAGAUAUGCGGAGGAACACCGAUGGCGAAGGCAAUCCCCUGGACCUGUACUGACGCUCAUGCACGAAAGCGUGG
rnacentral:rRNA from 1 species